UUAGUGGCGGACGGGUGAGUAACACGUGAGCAACCUGCCUCUGAGAGAGGGAUAGCUUCUGGAAACGGAUGGUAAUACCUCAUAACAUAGCGGUACCGCAUGAUACUGCUAUCAAAGAUUUAUCGCUCAGAGAUGGGCUCGCGUCUGAUUAGCUAGAUGGUGAGGUAACGGCUCACCAUGGCGACGAUCAGUAGCCGGACUGAGAGGUUGAACGGCCACAUUGGGACUGAGACACGGCCCAGACUCC
rnacentral:rRNA from 1 species